rnacentral:lncRNA from 10 species
AUUAGUUAUGCAGUUUCUUCAUAGUGUCGAUGGUCUUUACAUUUUGGGUUGUUCUUGCAGUAGCUGGUACUGGUUUUUCCUUUCCAUAUUUAGUGCUUCCUUCAGGAGCUCUUGUAAGGCAGGCCUGGUGGUGACAAAAAUCUCUCAGCAUUUCCUUGUCUGUAAAGGAUUUUAUUUCUCCUUCACUUAUGAAGCUUAAUCUGGCUGGAUAUGAAAUUCUGGGUUGAAAAUUCUUUUUUUUAAGAUAUUGGCCCCCACUGUCUUCUGGCUUCUAGGGUUUCUGCAGAGAGAACCGCUGUUAGUCUGAUGGGCUUCCCGUUGUGGGUAACCCAGCCUUUCUCUCUGGCUGCACUUAACAUUUUUUCCUUCAUUUCAACCUUGGUGAAUCUGAUGAUUAUGUGUCUUGGGGUUGCUCUUCCCGAGGAGUAUCUUUGUGGUGUUCUCUGUAUUUUCUGAAUUUGACUGUUGGCCUGUCUUCCUAGGUUGGGAAGUUCUCCUGGAUAAUACCCUGAAGUGUGUUUUCCACCUUGGUUCCAUUGUCCCCAUCACUUUCAGGUACACCAGUCAAACAUAGGUUUGGUCUUUUCACAUAGUCCCAUAUUUCUUGGAAGCUUUGUUCAUUCCUUUUCAUUCUUUUUUUCUCUAAUCUUGUCUUCACACUUUAUUUCAUUAAGUUGAUCUUCAAUCUCUGAUAUUCUUUCUUCCACUUGAUCGAUUCAGCUAUUGAUACUUGCAUAUGCUUCACGAAGUUCUUGUGCUGUGUUUUUCAGCUCCAUCAGGUCAUUUAUGUUCUUCUCUAAACUGCUUAUUCUAGUUGGCAAUUACUCUAACCUUUUAUCAAGGUUCUUAGCUCCUUGCAUUGGGUUAGAACAUGCUCCUUUAGCUUGGAGGAGUUUGUUAUUACUCAACUUCUGAAGCCUACUUCUGUCAGUUCAUCAAACUCAUUCUCUGUCCAGUUUUGUUCCCUUGCUGGCAAGGAGUUGUGAUCCUUUGGAGAAGAGGUGUUCGUGUGCUUGGAAUUUUCAGCCCUUUUCCGCUGCUUUUUCCUCGUCUUCGUGGAUUUCUACCUUUGGUCUUUGCUGUUGGUGACCUUUGGGUGGAGUUUUUGCUUGGGUCAUCCUUUUUGUUGACGUUAAUGCUAUUGCUUUGUGUUUGUUAGUUUUCCUUCUAACAGUCAGGCCCCUCUUCUGCAGGUCUGCUGCAGUUUGCUGGGGGUCCACUCCAGACCCUGUUUGCCCGGGUAUCACCAUUGGAGGCUGCAGAACAGCAAAGAUUGCUGCCUGCUCCUUCCUCUGGAAGCUUCAUCCCAGAGGGGCACCCGCCAGAUGCCAGCCGGAGCUCUCCUGUAUGAGGUGGCUGUUGACCCCUGCUGGGAGGUGUCUCCCUAUCAGGAAGCACGAGGGGUCAGGGACCCAUUUGAGGAAGCAGUCUGUCCCUUAGCAGAGCUCAAGCGCUGUGCUGAGAGAUCUGCUGCUCUCUUCAGAGCUGGCAGGCAGGAAUGUUUGUCUGCUGAAGCUGCACCCACAGCCACCCUUUCCCCAAGGUGCUCUGUCCCAGGGAGAUGGAAGUUUUAUCUAUAAGCCCCUGACUGGAGCUGCUGCCUUUCUUUCAGAGAUGCCCUGCCCAGAGAGAGGAGGAAUCUAGAGCUUAAGUUUUUUUUCAAUUUCCAUUUCUAUUUAAGAUUCAGGGGUGCAGGUUUGGUACAGGGGCAUAUUGUGUAAGUUGUUUCUUUCUCUAAGAUAAAACAUAUCCAUGAAAUAUUUGCAGAGCCGGAUGACUUCUAUAUGAAUUAGAAGAAAGGGGAAACCUGGGUCUUGUUCAUGGCUUUUUAUUUCUUCAUUACCAUCACUGACUGUAUUCUUUGCAGGGUUCCUGACUGUUCUGGCAAUAAAUUUCAUUGUAGUGUAGAACUGCCUAGUCUUCCUUUUGUGAGAGAGAUAUGCUACAGUGAAUUUUGAAAUGUAUAGUUUUAAGCCUUAGAACUGGAAAUCAGUAAGCCUCCUUGGGUAUGAAAUUAAAAGCAGGUAUUUGUGAACAUUUCAAAUUUUUAAUUAUAACUAUUUUAAAACUCUUAAUUUACUUUUUCUAGACACUGAAAGAUUUUAAGAAAUCUUAAAAUGUGAUUUUCUUUGUAGUAUUUAUUAUUUCUUUAAAAACGAUCUGGUAACCUUGAGAGAAAAAAUAUUCUUAUUCUCACAGCUUCUUCACUCCUACAUGCUUCUAAAAAUAUUACAGUUUAUCAUCUGAAAAAUUUGUGGAAUUAUGCUGAACAGAAUAUGUAAAAAAUUUCUUUAGGCUACUUUUGGCAUGUGUUUUUAUUACCUGAAGUUUUAUGAUUAUGGGCUAUUGCCAUUGAAAACAGCUAAGGUUUUAACAUUCAAAGAUCUAGAUUUGCACUGUCCAAUACAGUAGACAGUAGACACAUGUGACUAUUUAAAUUUAUAUUAAUUUUUUUUUCCUUUUGAGUUGGGGUCUCACUCUAUAGCCCAGGCUGGAGUGCAGUGGCGCAAUCACGGCACAUUGCAAUAACAACCUCCUGUACUCAGGUGAUCCUCCCAUCUGGGAUUACAGGCAUGAGCUACUGCGCUGGGCCAGUACUCUUUAUUAAUAUGUGAUUAUUUCCAUUUGAGAAAUUUGAAACAUUAAAAGAAAACGUUUGGUUAGAGAUACAUUUGCUUUUUAAAGUCCUGAUUUAGUAAUUUGGUUAAAAUUUUUGGCUGAAGAGAAUUAGUGAAGCUUAAUUGUAUAUUUGUACCAAUGAAUGAUUAUAAAACUUUAUCACUGUAAUCCCAGCACUUUGGGAGGCUGAGGCGGGCAGAUCACCUGAGGUUAGGAGUUAGAGACCAGCCAGUCCAACAUGGCGAAACCCCAUCUCUACUAAAACUACAAAAAAAUUAGCUGGGCAUGGUGGCAGACGCUUAUAAUCCCAGCUACUCUGGAGGCUGAGGCAGGAGAAUUGCUUGAACCCAGUAGGUGGAGGCUGCAGUGAGCUCAGAUCAUGCCUCUGCACUCCAGCCUGGGCAACAGAGCAAGAAGACACCAUCUUAAAAAAAAAAAAAAAAGUUUUGGGAAUCAGAUUUAAAAGAAUUUCCAUUACAAAGUAAAACUGAAAGGAUGAAAGAAAAAAAUUUUCAACUUAGAACUUCUACAAGAGGAAAGUUUUUCAUGGAUACAAAUUCUUUGGUUAUAUUUUUGCAAAUAUUCCAGUCUGUGGCUUGUGUUUUAAUAGUAUUUUUCAAAGAACAGAAAUUUUAAUAUUUAUGGAGUCCAACUUAUCAAUUUUAUUCUUUUAUGAUUCAUUAUUUAUGGGUUCUAAGAAGUCUUUGUUAACCCAGAUCACAAAGGUAAUUUCUUGUAGAAAUUGUAUAGUUUUAGGUUUUACACUUAGGUCAAUGACCCCAUUUCAAGUAAACUUUUUAUGAUAUGAGAUAUGGGUUGAGAGAUUUUUUUUUCUUUUAUUUUGACCUCAACACUAUUUGUAGAAAAGGUUAUCCUUAAUUUACUGAAUUAUCUUGGCAACUUUAUCAAAAAUCAUUUUAUAAGUAUGGGUCUAUUUUUGGACUCUAUUCCAUUUACCUGUAUCUAUUCUUUUACCAAUACCACACUGUCUUGAUUCCUUUAUAGGAAGAAAUUAUUCUGUUUUAUUCCUUUAUAGGAAGUCUUGACCUCAAGUAAUACUGGAUUAUGGACAGAACUUGGAAAUAUUGAGAAUAAUUUCUUAAAGCCACUUCAUAUAGGACUUAAUAUGUCAAAAGCACAUUAUGAAGCAGAAAUUAAAAAUAGCCAAGAGGCCCAGAAAUCUAAAGAUCUUUGUUCUAUAACUGUAAGUGGAGAAGAGAUCCCUAAUAUGCCUCCUGAAAUGCAGCUUAAGGUCCUGCAUUCAGCUCUUUUCACAUUUGAUUUGAUUGAAAGUGUUCUAGCUCGAGUGGAAGAACUCAUUGAAAUAAAAACAAAGUCUACCUCUGAAGAAAAUAUUGGGAUAAAGUGAAAGUUCCAUUUCCUAAAUAAAAACUAAUAAAAUAUAGU